rnacentral:rRNA from 1 species
GCGAACGGGUGAGUAACACGUGGGUAACCUGCCCAUCAGAAGGGGAUAACACUUGGAAACAGGUGCUAAUACCGUAUAACAAUCGAAACCGCAUGGUUUCGGUUUGAAAGGCGCUUUUGCGUCACUGAUGGAUGGACCCGCGGUGCAUUAGCUAGUUGGUGAGGUAACGGCUCACCAAGGCAACGAUGCAUAGCCGACCUGAGAGGGUGAUCGGCCACAUUGGGACUGAGACACGGCCCAAACUCCUACGGGAGGCAGCAGUAGGGAAUCUUCGGCAAUGGACGCAAGUCUGACCGAGCAACGCCGCGUGAGUGAAGAAGGUUUUCGGAUCGUAAAACUCUGUUGUUAGAGAAGAACAAGGAUGAGAGUAAAAUGUUCAUCCCUUGACGGUAUCUAACCAGAAAGCCACGGCUAACUACGUGCCAGCAGCCGCGGUAAUACGUAGGUGGCAAGCGUUGUCCGGAUUUAUUGGGCGUAAAGCGAGCGCAG